ACCCUGUAGAACCGAGUUUGUAUGGUGGUUUUGAAACCAAAUUCGGUUCUAGAGUGGUUU
rnacentral:pre_miRNA from 1 species